rnacentral:rRNA from 1 species
AUUGAACGCUGGCGGCAGGCCUAACACAUGCAAGUCGAGCGAGCGGAGGACGGGUGAGUAAUGUAUGGGAAACUGCCUGAUGGAGGGGGAUAACUACUGGAAACGGUAGCUAAUACCGCAUACCAUCAGAUGUGCCCAGAUGUGAUUAGCUAGUAGGUGGGGUAAUGGCUCACCUAGGCGCCGAUCCCUAGCGGGUCUGAGCGGGUGACCGGCAACACUGGAACUGAUGCACGGGCCAGACUCCUACGGGAGGCAGCAGUGGGGAAUAUUGCACAAUGGGCGCAAGCCUGAUGCAGCCAUGCCGCGUGUGUGAAGAAGGCCUGCGGGUUGUAAAGCACUUUCAGCGGGGAGGCGUUACCCGCAGAAGAAGCACCGGCUAACUCCGUGCCAGCAGCCGCGGUAAUUC